rnacentral:rRNA from 1 species
AUUGAACGCUGGCGGCAAGCCUAACACAUGCAAGUCGAGCGGAUGAAGGGAGCUUGCUCCUGGAUUCAGCGGCGGACGGGUGAGUAAUGCCUAGGAAUCUGCCUGGUAGUGGGGGAUAACGUCCGGAAACGGGCGCUAAUACCGCAUACGUCCUGAGGGAGAAAGUGGGGGAUCUUCGGACCUCACGCUAUCAGAUGAGCCUAGGUCGGAUUAGCUAGUUGGUGGGGUAAAGGCCUACCAAGGCGACGAUCCGUAACUGGUCUGAGAGGAUGAUCAGUCAAACUGGAAGUGAGACACGGUCCAGACUCCUAAGGGAGGCAGCAGUGGGGAAUAUUGGACAAUGGGCGAAAGCCUGAUCCAGCCAUGCCGCGUGUGUGAAGAAGGUCUUCGGAUUGUAAAGCACUUUAAGUUGGGAGGAAGGGCAGUAAGUUAAUACCUUGCUGUUUUGACGUUACCAACAGAAUAAGCACCGGCUAACUUCGUG